AUUAUCAUUACUUGACCUCUCUCGUUCAGAUCUAUUGAGCGGAAUCCACAUCCGCUUCAGACAUUCAAUUACUUUAACGAAAUAACGAAAUUCAGUUCCAAAUUUAUUUUGUUUGCCGGCAGUCGAAACAUUUAAAAUGGGCAGAAUAAAACUUAACGGAGUUUUCUUACUGAUGAUCCUUCAAAUAUUCUUGGUGGCUACAACAACUGGAGAUGAAACGUGUGAAUCAGAUCGAAAAAUGGAAGAACAGUGCCGGCUUCAUAACUACAAGACUGUUAAACCUUUGCUAGAUUACUUCAGGCAGGUUAGAAAUGAGUUAGAACAAAGUGAAACUAAGGAAAAGCAGAUAAGUGAAUUAAAUUCUGAUCUAAUGGAAAAAUAUCAUGAAAUUGUAAGAAUUCAUGAAACAUUCGUGAAGGAGGCAUUUCUAUUAAAUGAGUAUAAAAACAAAGUAAUCAAAGGGGAAAACGAUUUGCAAUUGUGUCAAAAUAAAUUUGAUAAAUCUGAAUCUGAAAUUAAUUCAUUAAAAGAACAACUAACAGAUAAAUCCACCAACUUAGAAACUUGUCAAGUUCAAUUAAAAUCUGUUAAUUCUGGAUUAAUUGAAAAAGAUGAAAAUAUAAAAAGAUUUAGUGAGAAUAAUACAGAACAUCAGAAAACACUUGAGUUGGAAUUAGAGAAAAGUAAAUCUAUAAUAAUAAAGCAUGAAAAUGAUAUUAAGUUAUGUCGCUCAAAAAUCAACAAAUUAAAUAGGACAUCAGAGAACAUUAGAGAAGAACAGAAAAAGAUUCAAUUGAAAUUAAAUGAAUGUGAAACUAAGAUUAGUCAAUCUGAACUCUAUAAAUUAAGUCCCACAACAUGCAUCCCAUUCGAGAAGAUCCAGGAGUUCAUCAACUCAAUGUCUCUGGCAUAGGUUUAUUCAAUGUAUUGUGCGAUAGUCAGUUAGCUGGACCUGGAUGGAUUGUAAUACAACAACGAGUUGGGGGAAAUGAGAAUUUCAAUAGGGAUUGGGCAACGUAUCGCAAAGGUUUCGGUUCUUUUGAAAGUGAUUUCUUUCUUGGAUUAGAGAAAUUACAUCGUAUGACGAGCUUGCAGCGUUUCGAACUUUACAUACAUAUGGUUCCUCGCAGAGGAAGAACCUACAAAGCUCGUUAUGACGACUUUAAAAUAUCAGAUGAAGAUAAUGGAUAUGCACUGAGUUUGGGUAAAUUCAAUGGAACUAUUUUUGGGAGUGGCAUGAAACACAGUGAAAACAUGAAAUUCACAACAUUCGAUCACGACAACGACAAAGAUGAUGAUGAUAAUUGCGCAGUCUAUGGUGAAAGUGGCUGGUGGUACGAUUAUUGUUCUCAUUGUCAUUUAUAUGCACCAAUUCCAUGUU